UACAGAGGUCUCAAGCGUUGUUCGGAUUCAUUGGGCGUAAAGGGUGCGUAGGCGGCGCGGUAAGUCGGGUGUGAAAUCUCGGGGCUUAACUCCGAAACUGCAUUCGAUACUGCGGUGCUUGAGGACUGGAGAGGAGACUGGAAUUUACGGUGUAGCAGUGAAAUGCGUAGAUAUCGUAAGGAAGACCAGUGGCGAAGGCGGGUCUCUGGACAGUUCCUGACACUGAGACACGAAGGCCAGGGGAGCAAACGGG
rnacentral:rRNA from 1 species